UUCUAACAGCCGCAUCCCAUGUGACACAGUGACAGGCCAUUGUGGGCACCCCGGUGACUUGUUUUCUUCCUUUCCUCAGGGGUGGCACUCUGGAAGCCAUUCAGUUCCCUUUGGACACACUUCUGGAAACUGAAAGUCUAAGAUCACCGCGCCAGCAGAACCAGUGUCUGGUGGGGGCCCCUUCCUGGUUCAUAGAUAACCGCCUUCUUGCUGUGUCCUCACGAUGAAAAAAGGGUAAGAACUCGGGGCCUACCAAAUGGCAAGGCAAGAAGAGCUGUAACACAAACAGGGCUGAAACGUGCCCCUUGUUCACCACGUUGUGGACAAAGAGAGGGAGAGAAGAGCUGUGGCCCUUCGGGGGGCCCAAACCUGGGAGCUCCCUAAGCCAGGGCUGUGACUCCUUUUUGAGGUCCUGUGAUUCCUGGCAUCUCUGAGCUUCCAGGUGCCACCACAUUCCAGGCCGGCACUGGGGAAGCUGCUUGCGGUGUGCCUGGUCCAGCUGCAGCCUCACAGAGAACUGACGCCCGUGCCGGCACCUGGAGCUGCCCGCCCCACUGCAGCAGCCGGCAUGCCUGACCGUGCACAGUGGCCGGACCCCACGAUCGCUCACUCAAACACCCGUCCCCGCUCCACGCCUGGGUUGUUCUUGGCAGGUGUGGGAUCCAGGCCGGUAGUGUGAGCUGAACACAGGCCGAGUGGGUGGAACAAGCUGAGCAGGCCUGAGAAAAUGCUGGGCAAAGGUGCCACUGGCCACAGAGGUUUCCAGCCAGAAAAGCGACACCCCAGAGAUCCUGUAACAUUAGCAUAAGGCCUGGCCCUCUGAGGAGUCUGGUGGCUGAUUGCUGUUCUGUUGAUGGAGCACCUUCUUUCUUCAUCUGGUUGAUGUCUUCGCUUCCUUGAAGCCCAGCACCACCACUGGCCCGGGACGGGGCCCCUCCGCACUCUGACUGGCCCUGGGGACGAAGCACGAACAUGGCAGACCUUUCCCCCAGCGCAUGGGGGCCUCCUCCCAGGGCCAGCGACUGUGGCUUCUUUAGCCUCUGUCUCCCGAGCACCUAAUGCCUGGCUCGUAGGAGAGGCUCAGAACAUUUCUGAAGGAAUGAAUGAAUGCGUGAAAAUGUGUAAGUGCUCUGCAAAUUGGCAAGAAUUCACAAAAGUUAGUUAAUAUGCUUCUCCAGAGACUGAGCCUUGGGCAAACACUUAAUGAAAUAAACAGGGCUGGAUUUCAAGGUGAAGGCCAGAUUGGAGCAAGGCUUGCGGGGAUGGUUAUGGGGGUGGGGGUGCACAUCCUCCUACGUCCUCUUCUCAGCAGCCCCUCCACCAGCCCAGGGGCCCAGGAUCUCCUGACUCCUCAGUCACACAGCCCGGUAGCAGCAGUGCUGUCGUCUUCUUUCUAUGGGAAAUUUGCUCCCCACAACCCCACUGAAAUGGUGUUU